rnacentral:lncRNA from 1 species
GGGUAAACGGGGCCCAGCCCCCCGCGGGUGCGGGCUGGGGAACUAGGAGAAUGACCUCCACCCCCUGCAGAGACCCCUCCCCCCGGCGAUUUUGCUGCCAAGUCGACUCGGCUACAGACACUCAAGCCCCUUUGUGUGACUAAAUUUGGCAAGAAUAUGGAUCCGAGCCAGUGUUUCCACGUGUGCUUCCAGCUCCCAGCUGAGAAGGCCAAGGGUUCUCUUCCGGGAAAACCAGUUCGGCUAUUAAGGAAAGCUCUCAACAAGGAGGAGAGCAAGAGAAGGCAGGGUUUCAGAGAGAAUAGCUGUGCCCCGUCAAAGCGAACCGGGUUCCACACAGACAUGGGAUAG